rnacentral:lncRNA from 1 species
AGAAACCAAGGAAGAACAAACCCUAGGUGGGAAAAAUCAAAGAGAAAGUGUUGGAAUUCAAGGAUUUGAUCAAGCAAAGGUAAAAUUUUUUUUAUUUUGCAAGUGAUUUACCUUACCCAUGCAUUUUCCCUUAAUUUCCAUGGUUAAAUUACAUGUUUUCAUGAUAAAUUCAUGGCUGGUNNNNNNNNNNNNNNNNNNNNNNNNNNNNNNNNNNNNNNNNNNNNNNNNNNNNNNNNNNNNNNNNNNNNNNNNNNNNNNNNNNNNNNNNNNNNNNAUGUUAUUCUAGGUGAUUUGAUUAAGAAAUAAUAGUUUUUGGUGUAGGAAUUAAUGAAUUAUGGAGAGAAAAUUAAGUAGGAAAAAUCACAGAGUUAGUGUACCACUGUUGGCUGAAAGUUUCAAGAAGAAAAGUGAAGAUAAAUUUUGCCUAAUUCCGUGUUAAUUAGUUGUGCUUGGUGAAUUGAGGGAUUGGAAAAGAAAUGGAGCAAGUUGGAGUGAAAUUGGACGCAUUGGCCAAUUUAUCGGAUGAAAAAUCGACUUAGGCCAAUAUCGGGUCUAGAUGGCUAUUCGUGCAUUUUUCAUUUCAUAUCAUGCAUAUAUAUCAAGCCUGAAAUAGCUUAUGACUGUUAGACACAAUUUAAUUGGAAUAUAUGUCAUGGAUUAUGGCUAGGUGGUGAAUCAUUGGAUACGGGUAAAGGACUGUACCCGCGGACUGAAAAUAGGAGUGUUUCUACUCCUAAUAUUAUGAGUGAUCUUAUUAUCGUCUUAAUUAUCUAUAGUAGUUUUAUACAAUUGUGUUCUUUUAUAGAAAAUGGGUUUAAAUGGUAAAUUGCUAUGUUUUAGGAGAAAUUGUGAUUUUAUAAAAUGAUUUUAUAAAUUUUCUGAAAAAUUGAUACUGGUUUUGAAAAUAGAGUAAUUGGAGACUGCUUGCUUGUGUUAUAAAUUGUGUUUUAAAUUAUAUGGCUUAUAACAAUAUGUGAGCAUGAAUGGAAAAGUCGGUAUUUGUAUCAAAAUUAUAUAUACUAUGUAUUCAACCUUGAGAGGCUAGAUUGCGAUAAAUUGUCAUGUCAUGCAGAUAAGGAUUUUAUAAAUCAGAUGGUAGAUAAAAUAAAGAUUAGCUACUGCAGUGGCAGGGUUCCGUGGACCAACCUAUUAAAGGGGCACGGUAAACUCCUUUAUAUUCUCACCUCGGUCGUAGAGGCGCGUAGGGUAUCUCUUGAGGUGGGCUUUUUGAGUGCACUUCACGUUAACCACCACGUGAGAGUGAGACUCAGCCAAUGCCAAGGAACGACAGUAAUGUUCAACGAAAAAUGUGUUUUAUACGAAAUAUGAAUUUUUAACAGCCUUGACGGUCUCAGUGGGAUACCUUGACAAAGGUACCCACGAGAAUGAUUUUGGCAGGAGCCAAGUUUUGAGAAAUUCACGAGCCAUAUUGAUUAUUUGGUUGAAAUGAAUAUUCGUGUUGUGAAAAAUUUACUGAAAUGAACUAUUUUUAAUUGUCUCCCUUUACUCGCCUUUAGAUAGUUUAGAUGGUGUUUGUUUACUCACUGGGAUUAUGUAAUCAUAAUCUCACCCUUCUUCCUAUCCAUUUUUCAGGCUCAGGACAGUUUGUUGAUAGUUGAUUAAGACGAGAAUUAAUCUCGGAGUUUCAUCCUAGAAAGUAAGGGUUCGUAGCCCUACACCUUCUUGGUCAGUUAGGGGCUCACGUGUCACUGUAAAAGUAAUUUUAUACUUCAGUUAUCUUAUUUAAAGUAUGUAUGAACAUAUUUAUCUUUUACACCAUGUUUUUGACGGGUUUCGAUAUUUUUGAAGAAAAAUGACGAAAAUGCCCUUGUGAGCUAGAAAAUAAUAUUUUAUUGUUUUGAUUUGGAAACGACUUAUGAUUUCUUGAAAUGCAAGAUUUAAUAAUUGUCGCUCACCGGGGAGAUGCGAAAGUUG